rnacentral:rRNA from 1 species
GACGAACGCUGGCGGCAGGCCUAACACAUGCAAGUCGAACGAGUGGCGGACGGGUGAGUAACACGUGGGAACCUACCCAUCAGAGGGGGAUAACUCCUGGAAACGGUAGAUAAUCCCGCAUACCAUCGGAUGUGCACAGAUGGGAUUAGCUAGUAGGUGGGGUAACGGCUAACCUAGGCGACGAGCCCGAGCUGGGCUGAGAGGAUGACCAGCCACACUGGAACUGAGACACGGGCCAGACUCCUACGGGAGGCAGCAGUGGGGAAUAUUGCACAAUGGGCGCAAGCCUGAUGCAGCCAUGCCGCGGGUAUGAAGAAGGCCUUCGGGUUGUAAAGUACUUUCAGCGAGGAGGCGUUACUCGCAGAAGAAGCACCGGCUAACUCCGUGCCAGCAGCCGCGGUAAUUC